AGCAGUCGCCGCGGGAAUACAGAGGGUGCGAGCGUUAAUCGGAUUUACUGGGCGUAAAGCGUGCGUAGGCGGCUUUUUAAGUCGGAUGUGAAAUCCCUGAGCUUAACUUAGGAAUUGCAUUCGAUACUGGGAAGCUAGAGUAUGGGAGAGGAUGGUAGAAUUCCAGGUGUAGCGGUGAAAUGCGUAGAGAUCUGGAGGAAUACCGAUGGCGAAGGCAGCCAUCUGGCCUAAUACUGACGCUGAGGUACGAAAGCAUGGGGAGCAAACAGGAUUAGAUACCCCGGUAGUCCCUGUCUCUUAUAA
rnacentral:rRNA from 1 species